AUUGAACGCCGGCGGCAUGCUUUACACAUGCAAGUCGAACGGUAGAGGGGGCAACCCCUUGAGAGUGGCGAACGGGUGAGUAAUGCAUCGGAACGUGCCCAGUCGUGGGGGAUAACGCAGCGAAAGCUGUGCUAAUACCGCAUACGAUCUCUGGAUGAAAGCGGGGGACCGAAAGGCCUCGCGCGAUUGGAUCGGCCGAUGUCAGAUUAGGUAGUUGGUGGGGUAAAGGAUCACCAAGCCAACGAUCUGUAGCUGGUCUGAGAGGACGACCAGCCACACUGGGACUGAGACACGGCCCAGACUCCUACGGGAGGCAGCAGUGGGGAAUUUUGGACAAUGGGCGCAAGCCUGAUCCAGCAAUGCCGCGUGCAGGAAGAAGGCCUUCGGGUUGUAAACUGCUUUUGUACGGAACGAAAAGGUCUGGGUUAAUACCCUGGGCACAUGACGGUACCGUAAGAAUAAGCACCGGCUAACUACGUGCCAGCCGCCGCCGUAA
rnacentral:rRNA from 1 species